UUCCGUGGGCAGUGGCACAUCCAGAUUUCUGUGGGCUGAGCCCCGCUGCGCUUUGCACAGUCCCUGGGCCACACGGCCCCGGGGGAGGCUCCCGUGUGCCCAUUUUACAGGGAAGGAGACUGAGGAGUGAAAGGGAGAAGUGGGACUUGCGGAGCCUGACCUGAUUUGGAGCCGCUGUGUGACCUUGGGUCUUGCCCUUGGGGCUUCGGGACCUCAGUUUCCUCGUUUGUAACCUGAGCUCUGAGCGAGCAGGCCCUUGUCUGGGUCCCCAGCACCUCUCCCAGUGCCUGUGUGCAGUAGGUACUUAAUAAACAGCUGUUGAACGAGUGAGGGUGGGGAUGGUGAGACACCUGCCACCCCCCACCCCCAGGCCAUUGUGAGGGUCAGAGGGCAGGGAGUGAUAAGGGGACACAGUGCCGGGCAUGCAGGGCUGCCCUGUUAUCCCAGACCCCAACCUGCGGGCACAGGUGAGCCUCCAAACGUGUGAUCACAACAGGUCCUUCCGUUCCCAGAGGGCCAAGGAGCCUGGGCCUUUGGAGCGGAGUCACAGCUGGCGGGACGGAGGCCAGAGCUGAGCUCUGCAGGGCUUGGAACGCCUGCGUGGGGCUGGGGGAGGCACAGGGGAAAGCCCCCAGGGGCUCCUUUGGGUGAGCAGCCUGUGGGUGGCACCUGGCACGGGGGGUAGCACCGCCCCCUCCCGAGGGCCGCGCCACCCAAGUGCAGCUUCCGCCCUCCAGGUGCCAGCGGAGAGGGUGGGACUGCCUGCCCCGUCCCCCGCAGCUGGGAGGGCAUGGGCACCGGUGCCCGCUUCAUGCCAGGUGCCCACCUGCCUGCCUGGCACUGCCCGUCCCCUUCCCACCCACCCCGCCCCCCAGGACCCUGGGCUCCGAUGCAGCUGUGACCAUCCCCACGGCACAGCUGAGGAUACUGAGGCCAGGGGACUUGUGCGGUGGCCAGUGGCCACACGGGGGAGCUGGGUUCAGAUCCCCUUUCUGGUAGCCCUCCCUGCCUCCCUGUGCAAAGGGGGACGGGCAGUGGACAUGGUCCUGUGGCCUGAGGACAGGUGGGAACUUGCCCUUCAUUUAGGACCUCAAGACAUAGGCGGUGAGGGAGACCUGGCCACUCUGAUCCUCUCGUCAGGGUCAGGCCCCAGGCGGGGAGUUCACCAAUAGCACCAAUAGUAAAUGCCGGGCUCCUAUGCACCCUCCAAAGCCCAGAGGAUUGGCGUAGGCCCCCCUGCCAGCGACCGGCCCCCGCGUAGGGACCCACAUCACUUUCCCUGAGAGCAGCCCCUGGUGCUGUAAGGAUCUUGGCUUGCAGCUCACAGCUGUUCCUUCUUGGAGUCUAGCCCUCUGCCCACAGAGAGGGGUGCCUACAGCCAAGGACGGGCUGAUGCAGAGGGUAUAAAGUCCCCUUGUGCAGGUGGGGCUGCUCUGUGACAUUCUUCACGCCCUGAGCUCCCCUUGGGAUCAGGCAUCUCAGGCUCUGCUUCUAGGGAGCCCACCUAGGACACCCCCUCUCACUUUCAUGAGCAUUUCAGAGGCAGAGUUUUUGGCAGAGAUGUCCACACCCACUGUCCCCGUCCCUCAUUUUCUCACUCCAGUCACCCCUGUGCCGGCCAUUAGUGACCUUGGUGUGGCCGACUGACCCUCUUCCUUGGCUGGGCCCCAGCUCACCUGGGCUUCCUCUAGCCUCUGGUUGCUCCUUCCCAGCCCCGCCCCAAUCAGCUCUCCCACCCCCCCCACCGGCGUCAAGACCGGCACGGCUGCCCCCUGUGGACCACUCGGCGCGGCUGACCCAUGGGAGCCUCUGGUCAACACGUUCAGCAUCUUGCUGCUGAAAUCUCCAUCCUCAGCCUCCCCUGCUGGCCUGACCACCCAGUCGUCCAGCAGAAACCUGGGGUUGUCCCCUCUGUCAAUCCCCCCACUCUGCCCCAUGGCCACUGCGGGCCUGCCUCCCUGGCCCUCCUCUGGCAGCUGUCAGUUCCUCCCUAUGCCUCCUUCCCCACCCCGUCCAUGCCAUGUCACUCCCUUCCUCCAAAACCUUCAGUAGCUCCCUAUUGCCCAGGAUAAAGUUAGCUUCCUAGCUUGGAGUCUGAGUAGCCCCUGCCUCCCUCCAUCCCUUCUGGAAACUAGAGCUUUGGCCAUCGCUGAGCCUGCCGGGCCGCUUCCCUCCUGCAGCUUCUCACCCUGGGAGGCCCUUCCCCUCCGCCUGCUUAUUCACAUCUGAUUUCCCCGCUGGCCGCCAAGCCUUUUUUCACCCCUCCUGGCUCUCCGUCAUCCACAGGGGGGCUGAAGCCACGCCCUGGCGCUUCCUCCUCAGGGGUCUGUCAGCCCCGGGCCAGCUCUGCACCUGCCUGAGGUUCCCUCUGCUCUCUGCCCCCCGGGGGGGUGGGCUUCCUAACACCCAGGCUGUCUCCCGACCAGCCGGAAGCCCCACCCCCUCCCCCGGCUCCUCGCUGCCCUCCGGGGAAGGCCCAGCUCUCAGCCAGGAGGGCCCUGGCUGCAGGCUGAGCUGGGCUGAGCCCUGCAGGCAGCAGGAGUCCCUCUGCGUGCUGUCAUGGUGGUCUGAGCAGGCCCCUCGCUCCGCCCAGGGCUCAGCUCCUGGGACUCACAAGCAGGAAGUCGGGCUGAGCAGCGAGGCCAGCCCAUGUAAGAGGCAUGCAGGUGCCCCGGGCAUGGGAUGGGAGCCGGGCCAUGGGCUGGCAGGCAGCCACUCGAGCGGUGCCAAUUAAUGAUUGGCCCUGAGAGGGGGGAUGGCCUGGGUGGGUGGGACAGGCCCCCAUCAGGCCCUGCCUGUGACCUUGGGCCACGCCUAAAUCUUGAGAGCUGAAGGCAAACCCUUUAAAGGCGCAAAUCGACGCCUGUGCGAAGUUCCAACUCCUUUUCCAGCACCUGGUGCUGUUGCUUGGAUGCUUCCAGAGAUGGGGAGCUUACUACUCCACAUAAGAGAGAUCUUUCUUAUGAUGACCCUGUGCCGGCUUUGCCCUGGGGCCCUCGGGGGCCAGUUGCUGUGCUUCCUCUGGGGAGUUGAGGCCCACCCUAAUCCUCCCUCCACCAACGAGGUCUCCCCUCACGCCGGGCGGCCUCCACCCUCUGGCCACCGGAGCCCACCCAAGCCUAUUUUCUCCCCUACAGAGUGAGGCUGGGCCACCCUGGCCCCUCCUACCCGUCUCUCGCGUUACCUGGAAAUGAGCUUGUUGGGGUGGGGUAUGUGAAUGCGUCCCCAACUCAACUGUCUUUUUCCAUGGGGUGCGGGAGGGGGACGGGGGAAAGCAUGAGAGUCAGGGGUGAACCUCGUAUUCCAGGGACACCCGUUAGAAACUCAGGGUCCCCAGGCAGGGCAUUUCUAACAGGCGCCACAACGGAAUGAGGACUGCUGUCGAGGGCUUCCUUGAUGGGGUGAUGUGUCCGUUGAGACCCGAGGGAGGAUCAGAGUGACCCAGACCAGCCUGAAGGAACUGUGGGAGCGCCUGGAGCAAACGGGACGGUGGGGAGACCGGAGGCGGCAGGAGGGGUCACGGCUGGAGGGCUGUGGGCUGAGGCAUGAGCGCUGUGAAGGCCAGGAAGGCACAGGUGGGUCUGAGCACAGAGGGCCUUCUGCCGCCCACCGCCCCAUCUCUGCCUGAGCCCAGCCCCUUGGGACCCACUGGCACGGGCAUGGGGGCUGCAGCUGCGCGCACUCGGGCCCCCGCCCACCCCGAGCUGCCAUGGAACACUGAGUCCCGCCCAUCACGAGCCGCUCGGACAUGACCAGGCAUAGGGGCCACCCCUAAUCCUGCCUCACGUGGCGCCCGUUUGUUUUGUGGGUGAGAUUUGCGUUGGGAGCAAGCCCUGAGCCUCCUGGCUGCCUGCAGUAGGGGCUCAGAAAAGGCCAUCCGUUCCUGGACACUCUGAGGGAGCAGAGUGGCCUACCUCUGAGUGUCUGAAAGGCGAGGGUCUGGGGGCUUCAAGUCGGCCACUGGCUGGGGCCUUGAAGGAGAAAGGGCAGCUCCCAGGCCCUGUGCACUUACCGCAUGCCCGGCCCCCUGCCCGGGGCUUGCACACCAGGCUCAGGGAGGUCCGACACGAGUCCCCAGGAGGGACGAAGCCUGCACUGUCCACUCUGGGGGCACAGGCCACCGCAGGCAGGAGAGCGCUUGAAAUAUGGUGCGUGCGAGCUGCGGUGUGCCAUUGAGUGUGAGACACAUGACAGGUUUCAAAGACUUGGAGAGAAAAGAAGCAAGAAAAAUAGCUCUUUCGUGAUCUUUUCACAUUAAGAUGUAGAAAUGGUAAUAUUUGGAUAUAUUGGCUAAAUAAAAUGUGUUACCAAGUUUAAGCUCA